UUUUCUUCCAUAUCCAUCAUCGAUUUACUUCUUUCACUUUCCCUUCCAAUUUAACCGAACCUAUACAUAUUAUUCUUAUCCAUAAACCAUCAUAGAACCAUUAUACAUAGCUUCCGUCCUAUUUUUCCAUCAACUUCAUUUCAAAAGUGAAUUGAACGAUACUUUCUCGUAGACGAUCGGGCAACUUAGCAUACGACUCGACUCUCCCCGAGGCGGUUCGUAUCAUUUGGUAUCAGAGCUACUAAAACGAGAAGAUCGU
rnacentral:lncRNA from 1 species